rfam:Opisthocomus hoazin contig22164, whole genome shotgun sequence.
GGUGAGGCUGUUCUUACAGCCACUUAAUUUUUCAAAAUAAGCACAAU